UACGGGGGGGGCAAGCGUUGUUCGGAAUUACUGGGCGUAAAGGGCUCGUAGGUGGCCAACUAAGUCGGACGUGAAAUCCCUCAGCUUAACUGGGGAACUGCGUCCGAUACUGGAUGGCUUGAGUUUGGGAGAGGGAUGCGGAAUUCCAGGUGUAGCGGUGAAAUGCGUAGAUAUCUGGAGGAACACCGGUGGCGAAGGCAGCUCGCUGGGACGCAACUGACGCUGAGACGCGAAAGCGUGGGGAGCAAACAGG
rnacentral:rRNA from 1 species